rnacentral:rRNA from 1 species
GACGAACGCUGGCGGCGUGCUUAACACAUGCAAGUCGAACGGAGUGGCGAACGGGUUAGUAUUACGUGAGUAACCUGCCCUCAACUGUGGGCUAAGCCUGGGAAACUGGGUCUAAUACUGCAUAGUUGGGGAUGGGCUCGCGGCCUAUCAGCUUGUUGGUGGGGUGAUGGCCGACCAAGGCGGUGACGGUUAGCCGGCCUGAGAGGGUGGCUGGCAAUAUUGGGCCUGAGAUACGCCCCAGACUCCUACGGGAGGCAGCAGUGGGGGAGAGUGCACAAUGCUGGCAAGCCUGAGGCAGGGACGCCGCGUGGGGGAUGAAGGCUGUCGGGUUGUAAACCUCUUUCGGUACAGAACGGGUAUGUGCAGAAGAAGCGCCGGCUAACUACGUGCCAGCCGCCGCGGUAAUAC